rnacentral:rRNA from 1 species
AUAUUGGACAAUGGGGGCAACCCUGAUCCAGCCAUGCCGCGUGUGUGAAGAAGGUCUUCGGAUUGUAAAGCACUUUAAGUUGGGAGGAAGGGCUUUAGGUUAAUACCCUGAAGUUUUGACGUUACCAACAGAAUAAGCACCGGCUAACUCUAUGCCAGCAGCCGCGGUAAUACAGAGGGUGCAAGCGUUAAUCGGAAUUACUGGGCGUAACGGCAGCGAGGUUGGUUCAUAAAGAUGGGUGGGAAAUCCCGGGCUUAAACUUGGGAACGGUUUUCAUAACGGUGGGGCUAGAUUACGGUAGAGGUUAGGGAAAUUUCCUUUGUAGGGUGAAAUGCGUAGAUAUAGGAAGGAACACCAGUGGCGAAGGCGACUACCUGGACUGAUACUGACACUGAGGUGCGAAAGCGUGGGGAGCAAA